AGAAUCAACGCUGGCGGCGUGCCUAACACAUGCAAGUCGCACGAGAAAGGGGAGCAAUCCCUGAGUACAGUGGCGCACGGGUGAGUAACACGUGAAUAAUCUACCUCCGAGUGGGGAAUAACUGAGAGAAAUCUUAGCUAAUACCGCAUAAUACCCACGGGUCAAAGCAGCAAUGCGCUUGGAGAGGAGUUCGCGGCAGAUUAGUUAGUUGGCGGGGUAAUGGCCCACCAAGACGAUGAUCUGUAUCCGGCCUGAGAGGGCGCACGGACACACUGGAACUGAAACACGGUCCAGACUCCUACGGGAGGCAGCAGUGGGGAAUUUUGCGCAAUGGGGGAAACCCUGACGCAGCAACGCCGCGUGGAGGAUGAAGCCCCUUGGGGUGUAAACUCCUUUCGAUCGGGAAGAUAAUGACGGUACCGAUAUAAGAAGCCCCGGCUAACUUCGCGCCAGCAGCCGC
rnacentral:rRNA from 1 species